AUUAGCUGUUGGCGGGGUAGGGGCCCACCAAGGCGACGAUCAGUAGCCGGCCUGAGAGGGUGGACGGCCACAUUGGGACUGAGACACGGCCCAAACUCCUACGGGAGGCAGCAG
rnacentral:rRNA from 1 species